GAUGAACGCUAGCGGCAGGCCUAAUACAUGCAAGUCGAACGGUGUCUUCGGACAUAGUGGCGCACGGGUGCGUAACACGUAUGCAACCUACCUUACAUUGGGGGAUAGCCUUUCGAAAGGGAGAUUAAUACCGCAUAAGACAGUGGUCUGGCAUCAGACAGCUGUUAAAGAUUUAUCGAUGUAAGCUGGGCAUGCGUCCAAUUAGUUAGUUGGCGGGGUAACGGCUAACCAAGACUAUGAUUGGUAGGGGAACUGAGAGGUCAAUCCCCCACACUGGCACUGAGAUACGGGCCAGACUCCUACGGGAGGCAGCAGUAGGGAAUAUUGGGCAAUGGACGCAAGUCUGACCCAGCCAUGCCGCGUGCAGGAAGAAGGCGUUAUGCGUUGUAAACUGCUUUUAUACAGGAAGAAACGACUCUUGCGAGAGGCAUUGACGGUACUGUAUGAAUAAGCACCGGCUAACUCCGUGCCAGCCGCCGCGGUAAAAC
rnacentral:rRNA from 1 species